UAAGCAAUUAUACAGCGAAACUGCGAAUGGCUCAUUAUAUAAGUUAUCGUUUAUUUGAUAGUACCUUACUACUUGGAUAACCGUGGUAAUUCUAGAGCUAAUACAUGCUAAAAAUCCCGACUUCGGAAGGGAUGUAUUUAUUAGAUUAAAAACCAAUGCCCUCUGGGCUCUUUGGUGAUUCAUGAUAACUUCUCGAAUCGCACGGCCUUGCGCCGGCGAUGGUUCAUUCAAAUUUCUUCCCUAUCAACUUUCGAUGUUUGGGUAUUGGCCAAACAUGGUUGCAACGGGUAACGGAGGGUUAGGGCUCGACCCCGGAGAAGGAGCCUGAGAAACGGCUACUACAUCCAAGGAAGGCAGCAGGCGCGCAAAUUACCCAAUCCCGACACGGGGAGGUAGUGACAAUAAAUACUGAUACAGGGCUCUUUUGGGUCUUGUAAUUGGAAUGAGUACAAUUUAAAUCCCUUAACGAGGAACAAUUGGAGGGCAAGUCUGGUGCCAGCAGCCGCGGUAAUUCCAGCUCCAAUAGCGUAUAUUAAAGUUGUUGUGGUUAAAAAGCUCGUAGUUGAACCUUGGGCCUGGCUGGCCGGUCCGCCUCACCGCGUGUACUGGUCCGGCCGGGCCUUUCCCUCUGUGGAACCUCAUGCCCUUCACUGGGUGUGACGGGGAAACAGGACUUUUACUUUGAAAAAAUUAGAGUGCUCCAGGCAGGCCUAUGCUCGAAUACAUUAGCAUGGAAUAAUAAAAUAGGACGUGUGGUUCUAUUUUGUUGGUUUCUAGGACCGCCGUAAUGAUUAAUAGGGACAGUCGGGGGCAUCAGUAUUCAAUUGUCAGAGGUGAAAUUCUUGGAUUUAUUGAAGACUAACUACUGCGAAAGCAUUUGCCAAGGAUGUUUUCAUUAAUCAGGAACGAAAGUUAGGGGAUCGAAGACGAUCAGAUACCGUCGUAGUCUUAACCAUAAACUAUGCCGACUAGGGAUCGGACGAUGUUAUUUUUUGACGCGUUCGGCACCUUACGAGAAAUCAAAGUGCU
rnacentral:rRNA from 1 species